GUCCCCGUAGCUCAGCAGGAUAGAGCAUCUCCCUCCUAAGGAGAGGGCCGGACGUUCGAAUCGUCUCGGGGACGCCA
rnacentral:tRNA from 1 species